CCUACGGGUGGCAGCAGUGAGGAAUAUUGGUCAAUGGACGCAAGUCUGAACCAGCCAUGCCGCGUGCAGGAAGACGGCUCUAUGAGUUGUAAACUGCUUUUGUACGAGGGUAAACGCAGAUACGCGUAUCUGUCUGAAAGUAUCGUACGAAUAAGGAUCGGCUAACUCCGUGCCAGCAGCCGCGGUAAUACGGAGGAUUCAAGCGUUAUCCGGAUUUAUUGGGUUUAAAGGGUGCGCAGGCGGUCGGAUAAGUUAGAGGUGAAAUCCCGAGGCUCAACGUCGGAAUUGCCUCUGAUACUGUUCGGCUAGAGAGUAGGUGCGGGAGGCGGAAUGUAGGGUGUAGCGGUGAAAUGCUUAGAGAUCAUACAGAACACCGAUUGCGAAGGCAGCUUACCAAGCUACUUCUGACGUUGAGGCACGAAAGCGUGGGGAGCGAACAGGAGUAGAUACCCCUGUAGUC
rnacentral:rRNA from 1 species